GGGUGAGUAACGCGUGGGAAUCUACCCAAUUCUACGGAACAACAGUUGGAAACGACUGCUAAUACCGUAUACGCCCUACGGGGGAAAGAUUUAUCGGAAUUGGAUGAGCCCGCGUUGGAUUAGCUAGUUGGUGGGGUAAAGGCCUACCAAGGCGACGAUCCAUAGCUGGUCUGAGAGGAUGAUCAGCCACAUUGGGACUGAGACACGGCCCAAACUCCUACGGGAGGCAGCAGUGGGGAAUAUUGGACAAUGGGCGCAAGCCUGAUCCAGCCAUGCCGCGUGAGUGAUGAAGGUCUUAGGAUUGUAAAGCUCUUUCACCGGAGAAGAUAAUGACGGUAUCCGGAGAAGAAGCCCCGGCUAACUUCGUGCCAGCAGCCGCGGUAAUACGAAGGGGGCUAGCGUUGUUCGGAAUUACUGGGCGUAAAGCGCACGUAGGCGGAUAUUUAAGUCAGGGGUGAAAUCCCAGAGCUCAACUCUGGAACUGCCUCUGAUACUGGGUAUCUUGAGUAUGGAAGAGGUGAGUGGAAUUGCGAGUGUAGAGGUGAAAUUCGUAGAUAUUCGCAGGAACACCAGUGGCGAAGGCGGCUCACUGGUCCAUAACUGACGCUGAGGUGCGAAAGCGUGGGGAGCAAACAGGAUUAGAUACCCU
rnacentral:rRNA from 1 species